rnacentral:rRNA from 1 species
UACGGAGGGUCCAAGCGUUGUCCGGAAUCACUGGGUGUAAAGGGUGCGUAGGCGGGCUAGUAAGUCAGGGGUGAAAGCCCGCGGCUCAACCGCGGAACUGCCCUUGAUACUGCAAGUCUUGAGUCCUGGAGGGGCUGGCGGAAUUCGUGGUGUAGCGGUGAAAUGCGUAGAUAUUAGGAAGAACACCAGUGGCGAAGGCGGCUCACUGGCCCGGUACUGACGCUGAGGCGCGAAAGCGUGGGGAGCAAACAGG